GCCCCGCCCAGCAUGGGCCCGACGCGAGGCGCGCUCUAAGGCGCCGCGGGCCGCUCGUAAUAGCUCGAGCCCAGGGAGCCGUUAGGUAUGCGCCCGGUCCCGCGCGCCUCCUGAGGCGCGAGCUGCUGGGCGGGUACCGGGAGCGCUCGGCGUUUUCUUCUCGUCUUUCGCUGCUCCCCGGGGUCGGGACGGGUGUAGAGCUGUAGCCCAGCACCCGCCUUCCCCUUAGCUCUCGUUCUUGAUGUCGGCAUCGCAGCGCUGGGUGCUGAGGCGGUGAUUGGCGCAGGGUGAGCCCGGGCGUUCCCUGUUAGUGAGCACGAGCGGUGCUCAGCGUUCCACGAGGGCUGGGAUGUGAGAGAUAAGAGGCAGAUUCACAUUUCAUGGUGUACAACUGAAGAAUGCACUUCUAUGCUGUGGAGAGCCGUUCUGGAGCCCUGGGUGUGAGACAUAAGGUCAUGAUCCACUAAUGCCAGUUCAUUCUCUGCUCCCCUCCUAGCAAUGCCUACUGAUCCCUUCCAAGAGAAAAUCUGGGUACAGAUGGCAGAUGUUUUCUCCAGUGUCCAGUGAAGCCAAAUAGCAUGAACGGCAAGUCACAUCGAGUUUGUCUUUCUUCACCUGAGACAUCAUUCCAGUAUUAUCCUGGGAACAAGUUUCUCUGGAUAAGGCCUGAAAACACACAUGUUCCCAAGUUACAUGCAAGUUUUGCUGUAUACCUACAUUUUGGUCAGCACUGGCACUUGAGCGAUGCGCUGUUGAGAAACAAAUUUGCUUUUCCAAGGAUGGUGGAGUCACUGCACUGAUGCUUUAUGGCCUGAGCUCCUGCAGCAGUGCAUUACUGGGGGUCAUCCCACACAGCUGGAUCCACGAAGAUCUCUGCACAGCAUUCAUAGGCUGUGAAGGAGAGGAAGCGAUCCCUGGCGCAGCAUCCUGCAGGAUCUGUGUUGCAAGAGGCUUCUGUCCUGAGUUAGGCAGAAAGAGCAUCAUCCCUGGAACCUCAGUUUUCUCCUAAAACACACCGUGUUCUUCACUGAUGUCCUUAUGACCUCAACAUGCAGGUGAGCUCGCUCUGUGCACAGUUCAACCAGAAACAGUUUUGGUAGAGGCUGUCAACAUCAGUGCAAGGAAGAGAAAGGAUUUACUGCUGAUCAUGCAGUAAUUUCCCCUCAUUUUUCUCUGUCUGGACAUUUGGAAUGUAGUCUGUAUGUCUGUACUUCACUAAAGUGCUGAAGUUAAGUGGGUGAUCGCGUUUCACCCACAACCAGUGAUUUCCAGCUGAGCCGUUUGUCGUGCCUUUGAUGGACAGUGCCACUGAGUUGCAGUCUGGAAGCCUUGCUGUCUGUAAUGCAUCACCUUAGCAGCCUGAUUAGAAGCAUGGAGACUUGUAUUUGUGUGUUAAAGUUUUUUUUUCUUGAUUUUUUUUUUAAGAUUUUUUCCCUCAACACUGUAAAAGAAGCUAGUUGUGCUUUGUUGUGCGUAAUGUUCCUCCUAGAAUUUGACCUGAGAUCUUGCAGGGAGAGAGCAUAUGUGGAUCUUCUUGAGACUGUACUGUGGCCACUGCCUUUAUCCCAAGGUCAUGCAUGUGGAGCAUUUUUUGUGCAUUUUGUUUUUAUUUUAAAGAAGGUUUGAAAGAAAAGUCUAAGAGUUGGGUGAGAUUUGGAAUGCCUGUUAUAGCUGUAGACAUGGAGAUGUUGGGUGGGUAGUGAGGAGUAUUGCAGCUUUGAAGCUUUAACACUAGUCGCUUCAAAUCUUCUUUUGCUGAUCUGCUGAAGAUUGUGUAAUCUCUCUAGUAUGCAGAUGUUGAAUAAAAGAAUAUUACUAUAA